AUUGAACGCUGGCGGCAGGCCUAACACAUGCAAGUCGAACGGUAACGGAAGCAGGUUGCCGCUUUGCUUAAGAGGGGCGGGCGGGUGGGUAAUGUUUGGGGAAAUGGCUGGUGGAGGGGGGUAAAUUAUUGGAAAGGGAGGCUAAUACGCAUAAAGUUGCCAGACCCAAGGGGGGGGACUUUGGGGCCCUUGGCCUUGGGGGUGGCCAGACGGGAUUAGCUAGUAGGUGGGGUAACGGCCCACCUAGGCGACGAUCCCUAGCUGGUCUGAGAGGAUGACCAGCCACACUGGAACUGAGACACGGUCCAGACUCCUACGGGAGGCAGCAGUGGGGAAUAUUGCACAAUGGGCGCAAGCCUGAUGCAGCCAUGCCGCGUGUAUGAAGAAGGCCUUCGGGUUGUAAAGUACUUUCAGCGGGGAGGAAGGGAGUAAAGUUAAUACCUUUGCUCAUUGACGUUACCCGCAGAAGAAGCACCGGCUAACUCCGUG
rnacentral:rRNA from 1 species